UAGGGAAUCUUCGGCAAUGGACGAAAGUCUGACCGAGCAACGCCGCGUGAGUGAAGAAGGUUUUCGGAUCGUAAAACUCUGUUGUUAGAGAGGAACAAGGACGUUAGUAACUGAACGUCCCCUGACGGUAUCUAACCAGAAAGCCACGGCUAACUACGUGCCAGCAGCCGCGGUAAUACGUAGGUGGCAAGCGUUGUCCGGAUUUAUUGGGCGUAAAGCGAGCGCAGGCGGUUUCUUAAGUCUGAUGUGAAAGCCCCCGGCUCAACCGGGGAGGGUCAUUGGAAACUGGGAGACUUGAGUGCAGAAGAGGAGAGUGGAAUUCCAUGUGUAGCGGUGAAAUGCGUAGAUAUAUGGAGGAACACCAGUGGCGAAGGCGGCUCUCUGGUCUGUAACUGACGCUGAGGCUCGAAAGCGUGGGGAGCAAACAGG
rnacentral:rRNA from 1 species